rnacentral:rRNA from 1 species
UACAGAGACUGCAAGCGUUAUUCGGAUUCACUGGGCGUAAAGGGUGCGCAGGCGGCCGAGUGUGUGAGGCGUGAAAGCCCGGGGCUUAACCCCGGAAUUGCACCUCAAACUACACGGCUAGAGCAUUGGAGAGGGUAGCAGAAUUCAUGGUGUAGCAGUGAAAUGCGUAGAUAUCAUGAGGAAUACCAGAGGCGAAGGCGGCUACCUGGACAAUUGCUGACGCUCGGGCACGAAAGCGUGGGGAGCAAAAGGG